GUAUAGGACCAUACCACCCUGAACACGCCUAAUCUCUUCUGGUCUUGGAAGCUAAGCAGGGUCGCGCCUGGUUAGUACUAGGAUGGAAGAAGAAGAAAGACAGAUAUCUGCA
rnacentral:rRNA from 1 species